UAGGCGCUCCCCCCGAGCCCCACCCCAUCUCUGCCGAUCCCCAUGGUGUGCCGCCGGUGGCUAUCGUCCGAGAGGAAGGCCGCACCACCAGUCCACCAUCCCUCCUCGCACGGCCGCGCCUCACCUCACCACUCCAGAUCCCAUAGGUGCGCCGCUGGUGGAUAUCUUCCUCGUUUCUCCGAUUUGAAACCCUAGGUUGGGCGCUGCCGACGGAUGCCGCGUUGAGUCCAUGGCCGACCUCCUCGUCCAGGCUUGGAAUAAGCUGCUCGAAGGUGAUGGGAUGGCUGGAGCAACCGUCGAUCCAGGAAAAGGUGAGUUGUUCUGCAGUGGAUCAGGGAGGCCAGUCUCUGUCAGCAAGAGGGCCAGGGCGUUGGUCGGGGAGGAGGUGGAGAAGGCUGGUAUUAAUAGAAGAGCUUAUGAGUCCAACUUUUGUUUUGCUUCGCCAUUCUGGUGUUGUUGGCCAUGAUUCCGGCCUCCGAUGGCUGGCCCCCCGCCACUCGCUACGACGGCACAGCUCUAUGCGUGCGGCUAUGUUAUUCCGCCACGGUCACCAUCACCUUUCUCCCAUCUGUUUACAGACGCUGCCAAACUUGAUGAAAUCAGAAUUUGUUCUCGCCAAUGUCUAAUUCCGUUAUGGUUACAGUUGGUGAUAGUAUGCCGCCAAAUGCAGUAGCAACACAUGGCCGGAAACCAUACCAUGGGAGAAGGAACUUAUGCGAGGACCUGUUCUCCUGAGAUGACCGAAGGAUAAAGAAGGUGUAAAGACUGACGGUGAAGCUGAAGGCGUAAUGGUUAAUGAUCAGGCAGAAGGUGUGAUGGUUAAUAACAAAGGUGCGGAUGAAGGUGAACAUAAGCAUGGAUAGUCUAUUGGUACUGUGCUGGGAGAAACUUGCAUUAGCCUUAUUUAUAAAAAAUGCAGAUGCGGAAGUAUAGAU